rnacentral:tRNA from 1 species
GCCGGUAUAGCUCAAUUGGCAGAGCACUCGCCUUGUAAGCGAAAGGUUCGGGGUUCGAGUCCCCGUACCGGCU